UACUAAGGUGUAGUGGUUUGAGUGUUGGACUAUGACUCUGGAGGCCAGGGUUUGAAUCCCUGCUUGGCCA